CCGAGGUUGUCAAUCCCUAAAGUAACAAGAGAACACAUUCAAACAUAUAUGGCCAAGUUAAGAUUUCCAGUAGUGAUUGGAGAAGCAGAGCUCAUCUUGCCGGAUUCUCCAACUCCGGUGGAAUUCAAAUACUUAUCAAACUUAGAUGACCUUAUCUUCUUUCGCCAUCACAUGCCUUUCAUUCAUUACUAUAACUCAAGGCAUGAAGGUGAACUGUGUGACCCUGCAGCAGUGAUCCGGAGAGCUUUGUCUAAGGCUUUGGUGCAUUACUACCCACUCGCUGGCCGGCUAAGGCAUGGUGAGAAUGGGAAGCUUGUUGUGGAUUGUUGUGCUGAAGGUGUUGUCUUCCGAGAUGUUGAAGCUGAUGUGACUUUGGAGCAGUUGAAGAUGGUGGCUGGAGGGCUCCGGCCACCAUCCCCAUAUUUAAGUGAGUUCUUAGUUGAUGAUGUUAAGGGUGGUGCCUUUAUUACUGACUCUCCAUUGCUGUGCAUGCAAGUGACAAGGUUGAAAUGCGGAGGAUUUGUGCUAGCAUACAGAGUAAAUCACUGCAUAUGUGAUGCAUAUGGUGCUUUUCAAUUCAUCAAAUAUCUCUCUGAAUUGGUUCGUGAACCCAACCGGUCUAGUCCAACCCAACCACCAGUUUGGUCUCGUGAACUACUCGUCCCAAACUCCACUCCUUGUCCGUUAUUCCCCCACACAGAGUACCAUCUAAACAUAAACUCCAAACAUGACACAUCCAAACUCAUGAGAACACAGAAACUAACACAAACCUCAAUCUUUUUAACUGGACAUGAUGUAUUUGCACUCAAAUCCAAGAUCAACAAACCCAAAACCACAACCUUUGAAGUGAUAACAGCGUUGCUCUGGCGUGCAUGGGCAUGUUUUCUAGCCUUAGAUUGUGAAACAAGGCUUGUAUUCCCAAUAGACACAAGAAGGAGCCACACACCUGUCCUACCUGUUGGCUAUUACGGUGUGGCCUUGAUCACCCCAUGCACCAUUAUCCAUGCCAAGCAGCUUGUGUCUCAGCCGUUGAGCUUUGCAGUGGGGCUGAUAUCAGAGUUGAAAAGCAAAGUACAAGAUCACAAAGAGUACCGGUCUUCGGCCAUAGACUUCAUUGAGAUGAAUGGAAGGUCUAGGUUCUGUAACAAGGUGGCGUUUGCUGUGUCGGAUCUAAGUAAGCUGAGGUUUGAUAAAGUGGACAUGGGAUGGGGACAAUGUUUGUAUGGUGGGUUUGCAAGGGCAGGUGUAGGGGAUGUGCCUGGCUUGAUGGUGGCACCAUUGGUGAGGUAUAAAAGAGAGGAGGAUGGGUUGGAGGGUUUGCUUGCCAUUGUCUCAUUGCCUCCUCAGGCUGUGGAUGUGUUUCAAAAGGAGGUGCGUCGUGAGAUUGAUAGCUCUUAUGCCUUCACAUCCUCUCUCUAGAUUUGGUUACAAGUAUUAAUUCGGGAAGGCCGUGCACAGGCUGUUGGAGAUGAUGAUGUUGAAGGCAUUAAGCUUAUUUCAAAACAAAUAAAAAGAGGAGAAGAAUGAAGAAGUAAUUCACAGUUUUUACUGAAGUAAAGAAAGAAGAGAUCUUGUUCUGUUUGAAAGCCUUCUCAUUUCAUUCCCACGUGCAACUCACAUGGGCAUCUAAACCGUUACAUUAUGCCACAUCAGCACAAGUUGUUAUAACUGAAUCAUCAGCUUUGUACAAUCAGAGAGAAGCUAUAUAAAGCUCUCUUUUCAUUGUUACUCUUAAUCAUGAAAUCAAUGGAAACUUCUUCUCUUCUCCUUCAUCUCCUUCGUCUU